UCAGACGAUGCGUCAUGCAUAUCAAUAAGCGGAGGAAAAGAAACUAACAAGGAUUCCCCUAGUAACGGCGAGUGAAGCGGGAAGAGCUCAAAUUUGAAAUCUUAAAGGGUUUCCCUUUACGAAUUGUAGUUUAAAGAAGUGUUUUCUGUUGAGGUUUUGGUAAAAGUUCUUUGGAAUAGGACAUCAUAGAGGGUGAGAAUCCCGUAUUUGACCUUUACUUUCAACUUUGUGAUACACUUUCAAAGAGUCGGAUUGUUUGGGAAUGCAGUCCAAAAUGGGUGGUAAAUUUCAUCUAAAGCCUAAAUAUUGGCGAGAGACCGAUAGCGAACAAGUACCGUGAGGGAAAGAUGAAAAGAACUUUGGAAAAGAGAGUUAAACAGUACGUGAAAUUGUCAAAAGGGAAGCGUUUGACACCAGUGUUGUUUUUCUGAAAAUCAAUUAAAGAACUGUUUAUGCUAAGCUGUUUAGACUUUAUCAGCUAUCUGUUUAGUUUUGAGCUUUUCUUUAAUGCACUUUUCAGUUAACAAGUCAACAUCAAUUUCUUUUGCUGUAAAAAAGCUUGAGGAAGGUGGCUUGAGAUUCGUCUUAAGUGUUUAUAGCCUCUUGCCUAUGCAGUCGGAGAGAUUGAGGUCUGCAGCGUAGAUCCUUCGGGGCUAAAUGCAUUUGUGCUAAGUUAUAGCAUUUCAUAGACAACUUGUUGACUAUGAUUUGUCUUGUAGCUUACUCGCUUAUGUUAUUUUACCUACGCUUAGGAUGUUGAAUCUGUGCGAGACUAC
rnacentral:rRNA from 1 species